CAAGUUGAAGUAACUGAAACCGUUGAUCGUGAAUCUUAUCCCUCCCCUCUUCCUGCAUGGCACCCUGCGUAAUACACACCAGUUCCACUUUUAUUAGUAAACGGACCCGUAAUACCCGGCCCGUGAUUAUGGGUCAAGAAAAUAAGUCCA